rnacentral:rRNA from 1 species
UUGAUCCUGGCUCAGAACGAACGCUGGCGGCGCGCUUAACACGUGCAAGUCGAGCGAGAAAGCCCCUUCGGGGGUGAGUACAGCGGCGCACGGGUGAGUAACACGUGGACAAUCUACCUCGAAGUGGGGGAUAACUUCGCGAAAGUGGGGCUAAUACCGCAUAAUCUUCUUUUGCCGAGGUGAAAGGAGGAAAGGUUUACCGCUUUGAGAUGAGUCUGCGGCCCAUCAGCUAGUUGGUAGGGUAACGGCCUACCAAGGCGACGACGGGUAGCUGGCCUGAGAGGGUAACCAGCCACACUGGAACUGGAACACGGUCCAGACUCCUACGGGAGGCAGCAGUGGGGAAUCUUGCGCAAUGGGGGAAACCCUGACGCAGCGACGCCGCGUGGGUGAAGAAGGCCUUCGGGUUGUAAAGCCCUGUCGCAGAGGAAGAAAAGGCAACUUGACGGUACUCUGUGAGAAAGCACAGGCUAACUCCGUGCCAGCAGCCGCGGUAACACGGAGUGUGCGAGCGUUGUUCGGAAUCACUGGGCGUAAAGCGAUUGUAGGCGGAUUAUCAAGUCGGUUGUGAAAUCCCGGGGCUCAACCCCGGACUGGCAUCCGAAACUGAUAGUCUUGAGUCCGGUAGAGGGCAGUGGAAUUCCCGGUGUAGAGGUGAAAUUCGUAGAUAUCGGGAAGAACACCAGUGGCGAAGGCGACUGCCUAGGCCGAGACUGACGCUGAGAAUCGAAAGCGUGGGGAGCGAACAGGAUUAGAUACCCUGGUAGUCCACGCCGUCAACGGUGGGCACUAGGUGGUGCGGGUGUCUGACCCCUGCGCCGCCGGAGUUAACGCAUUAAGUGCCCCGCCUGGGGAGUACGGCCGCAAGGCUAAAACUCAAAGGAAUUGACGGGGGCCCGCACAAGCGGAGGAGCAUGUGGUUUAAUUCGAUGAUACGCGAGGAACCUUACCUGGGCUUGAACGUAUGGUGCAUGAGUGUGAAAGCACUCUUUCCUUCACAGGACUUCAUACGAGGUGCUGCAUGGUUGUCGUCAGCUCGUGCCGUGAGGUGUUAGGUUAAGUCCUGCAACGAGCGCAACCCCUGUUUCUAGUUGCCAGCAGGUUAUGCUGGGCACUCUAGAAAGACUGCCUGCGCAAGCAGAGAGGAAGGUGGGGAUGACGUCAAAUCAGCACGGCCCUUACGUCCAGGGCUACACACGUGCUACAAUGGUCGGCACAGAGGGUGGCUACCCGGCGACGGGAUGCUAAUCUCCAAAGUCGAUCUUAGUUCGGAUCGAAGUCUGCAACUCGACUUCGUGGAGUUGGAUUCGCUAGUAAUCGUAUAUCAGCCAUGAUACGGUGAAUACGUUCCCGGGCCUUGUACACACCGCCCGUCAAGCCAUGGAAGUUGGGGGUACCUGAAGUCGAUUACCGUAAGGGAUUGCCUAGGGUAAACCGAUAACUGGGGCUAAGUCG